rnacentral:rRNA from 1 species
GACGAACGCUGGCGGCGCGCCUAACACAUGCAAGUCGAACGAGCGAGAGAGAGCUUGCUUUCUCGAGCGAGUGGCGAACGGGUGAGUAACGCGUGAGGAACCUGCCUCAAAGAGGGGGACAACAGUUGGAAACGACUGCUAAUACCGCAUAAGCCCACGGCUCGGCAUCGAGCAGGGGGAAAAGGAGCAAUCCGCUUUGAGAUGGCCUCGCGUCCGAUUAGCUAGUUGGUGGGGUAACGGCCCACCAAGGCGACGAUCGGUAGCCGGACUGAGAGGUUGAACGGCCACAUUGGGACUGAGACACGGCCCAGACUCCUACGGGAAGCAGCAGUGGGGAAUAUUGCACAAUGAGGGAAACCCUGAUGCAGCGACGCCGCGUGGAGGAAGAAGGUCUUCGGAUUGUAAACUCCUGUUGUUGGGGAAGAUAAUGACGGUACCCAACAAGGAAGUGACGGCUAACUACGUG